CUCAGAGCUCCUGGGCCAUGAGCAAGAUCAAAGUGCUCCAUCCCCAGCCUGGCUCACCAGGAACAGGAGACACAGGAAAAUCAUAAUCAAUAAUCAAUAGUCAGUAAUCAGUAAUCAAUAAUGAAUAAUCAGUAAUCAAUAGUCAGUAAUCAAUAGUCAGUAAUCAAUAAUCAGUAAUCAAUGCCCCCUCAUCACAGAGCACUUCCAUGGCCACUCCAGAGCACCAACCCAAACACAUUCUCGUGCUCACCUUGUUUUUGGUGACCAGCUUUAAUCCAGAGCACACCUGGAGAACACCUGGCUCAGCCCUUUGCAGUUCUGUGCUGCCACUGCCAUGGCUCCUGUUGGGCCCUUCCAAGCCACAGAAUGACCAGGAGAGCACAGGAGGAAAUGCAGGCAAUGAAAACUGAGCAGAGGGAAACACAUAUAUA